rnacentral:rRNA from 1 species
GCAUAUCAAUAAGCGGAGGAAAAGAAAAUAACAAUGAUUCUCUUAGUAACGGCGAGUGAAGGGAGAAAAGCUCAAAUUUUAAAUCUGCUAGGUUUUACCUAUCAGAGUUGUAUUUUGAAGAAGCGUUUUCCGCGUCUCGGUUGACCCAAAUCCUUUGAGAUAAGGUAUCAUGGAGGGUGAGAAUCCCGUUCGGUUGACCUUAUGACGCUCUACGAUACGCUCUCAAAGAGUCGAGUUGUUUGGGAUUGCAGCUCAAAAUGGGAGGUAAAUUUCUCCUAAGGCUAAAUAUCGGCGAGAGACCGGUAGCGAACAAGUACCGUGAGGGAAAGAUGAAAAGAACUUUGAAAAGAGAGUAAAAUAGUACGUGAAAUUGUUGAAAGGGAAACGAUUGAAGUCAGUCGUACCGACGGAAAAUCAGCUCUUCGAGUGCGGACUUGUGGGCGUACGUGAGCUUUAAUCGGCCUCGUCGUUUGCUUGUUUGUGCUUUUUGGGUGUACUUUUUCGUAUGGUAGGCCAACGUCAGUUUCGAUCACCAUAAAAUGAUCAGAGGAAUGUAGCUUCGAUCUUGUAUUGAAGUGUUAUAGCCUUUGGUAGAUGUGGUGACUGAGACUGAGGAUUGCAACGAAUACCCUUCGGGCUAUCCGUCUGACCUCUGAAAGUUGCUUAGGUGCCGAAAGCUUGCUUACGGUCAUCUAUGACGACGGUCAAAAGGUUAGAACGUGAUUAUAUUCGUUAAGGAUGUUGACGUA